CCAGAAGCUGGCUCUGAGCAAGUCUUCACAUUUGCCAUUUGAUUAAUUAAAGAUAAAUGGCAGAGACUUUUCCCUAAAUGGGUUACUUGAUUUAAGAGCUGCUGGCUAAUUUUGGUUGGAUAAUUUAAUAAUGCAACUGAGGAAAUGGCUGGUGCAAUUCAGCAAGAAGGCAGAAGCUAUGAAUUUGUGCUAUUGUCUGUGGGCUCCUUUCAGGUUCUCAAACAGUAGCUGCCACUUCCAGCUGGGAGAGAAAUGAGAGCUCUGUUCAUGGUGAUCCAGUAUCUCCAGAAUCCAUCACCACUGCUGACCUCCCACUCCAUGUCUCCAAGUGCUCUGCUAUACCUGCCACCAGCAGCUGCCACCUCCAGACUUUGGAAGGUUAUAAUAAAACCUCUGUUCUACGAUCUGCCUUCUGCUUCGACAUCCUCACUCCCCACAAACAAUUCUAAUAAACA
rnacentral:lncRNA from 1 species